GCCGCGGGCUCCGGACUUCGACAAUCCCCGAGUGCGAUCCCAGGUCAGGCGGGGCUACCCGCCGAGUUUAAGCAUAUCAAUAAGC
rnacentral:rRNA from 1 species